AUGGACAAAAAUAAAAUCUCUGAUGUGGCCCAAGCCUUCUCACCCUCUCACCAAGUCUCCAGCCUUUCUAUGCUGUUUCAUACAUCAGAUCCUUUACCCUUCUUCUCCCUUAGGCAUUACAAAAUCAAGUUAACUGUACUCUGCCCAGGGUGGCUGGAGCUCGACAUUGCCCUGAAUGCACGUGCUGGUUCUGCUUCCCCACCACCAGGGUUUUUUUCUCAUGCACCAAGAAGUCCGGAAGCAGACAGCCCAGGGCUGCCACUGCUGCUCAGAGAAAUCACCAAGGACCAGGCUGUUUCUAACGUCCUUCUCUGAUAACCUCAGCGACCACUUUUGAUCUUCCUGGUGGUAAGAUGACUGUUCUACUCUAGGCGUUGCGUCUGGGGCCCAGGCAAAGAGAAGGAGCAGGGCAAAGGGGCAAAGGUGCAUGCCAACUGAGUUUUGCCUUUAUACCAAGAAAAUAAUUGCUUUCCUAGAAGCCCCACUCACCAGACUUCCUCUGUCAUCUUGCUGGCCAGAACUCGAUUGGGUGACCACUUCUUUCCGAGCACAUGGCUUUCCUAAACAAAAUUGGCAUGCUAUUAGAAAGGAGGAGGAGAUGGAAGAAGAUGAGAGAAACAACCAGCCGUGCCUACCACUCCUUCAGCCUAUUCCAGUCCGUUGGAACUUAACCCUCCUCUGAGCAACUAUUUACAGUCAUCCCGCCCUAUCCUGAGGGGACACUUUCCAAGACCUCCAGUAGAUGCUUGAAACCAAGGAUAGUAUCAAGCCUUAUAAAUACUGUUUUUUUCCUUAUAUGUACAUACCUGUAACAAAGUGUAACCUAUUAAUUAGGCACAAUAAGAGAUUAAUGAUUAUAACUAAUAAAAUAAAGCAUUUAUAACAAUAUACUGUAAGAAAGGUUAUGUAAAUGCAGUCUCUCUCUUUCUCUCUCAAAAUACCCUAUUAUAUUGUACUCAGCCUUCUUCUUGUGAUGUGUCCACGGUUGGAUGUCAGGAGCAGACAAUGUCAAUAAUUAACGGCUAGGUAGCACAUACAGUGUGGAUACACUGGACAAAGGAGUGAUUCAUAUCCCCACAGGACAGAGUGGGGCGGUGUGAUAUUUCAUAACGCUGUUCAAAAUGGUAUGUAAUUUAAAACUUAUAGAUUGAUUAUUUCUGAAAUGCUUAAUUUAGUAUUUUCAGACCAUGGCUGAUCAUGGGUAACAAACCAUGGAAAGAAAACUGCUGAUAAAGAAAAUACUGUAUUGCGGCCGGGAGUGGUGGCUCACGCCUGUAAUCCCAGCACUUUGGAAGGCUAAGGUGGGCGGAUCACUUGAGGUUGGAAGUUCGAGACUAGCCUGACCAACAUGGAGAAACCCCAACUUUAAAAAAAUAAAAAAAAAGAAAAUACUGUAUUACAGUUUGUGUGCAGCAAGAGUCCACGUCUAUAUCCCCCAUAAUACAGUGCUGAGCACAUGGUAAAUGUUCCAUUGACUAAUACUACAAAUUCCAUAUAGGCAACAUGGCGUAAUGGUACUAGCUAGGCUUUGGAGUCAAGUAGCCUGUGCUUGAAUCCCAACUCAGCCACUUGCCAUUUAUUAGUCCUGUAAACUUGACCAAGUACUUAACCUCUCUGUUCUUCAAUUUCCCCAUCUGUAAAAUGCAAAUAAUGUGUUAAUACAUAUAGACAAGCCUUGGCAUUCUGGGGAUUGGUCCCAGGGCGCCCCCUAUACCAAAAUCUGUGAAUGUGCUAGUAUCUUUCAUAAAAUGGCAUAGUAUUUGCAUAUAACCUACCCACAUCCUCUCAUAUUCUUUAAAGCAUCGCUGGAUUACUUACAAUACCUUGAUCCAAUGCUUACACAUCACUUUAUUCAUGUGGAGUCAAUGUAGUACUCAGUGCCUGGUAAUUUCAAGUUUUUCUCUAUGGAAAUUUGUGCGAUUUCCCCCCAAAUGUUUUUUGUCUGAGGUUAGUUGAAUCUACAGAUACAGAACCCACAGACAUGGAGGGUUGCCUGUACUUAAUGCAGUUGUUAUAAGGAUUAAAUUAGAUUAACCCUAAUAUUAAUUUAAUAAAUUAACUUUAAUAGAACAGCUACAAUAGUAAGCACUAUGUAAGUGUGUAUUCAAUGAAUACAUGAUUGUCACCUAUGGUUAAAACAUUACCAGAAAUUGGGACCCAGAAUUUGACAAGUUAGAGCAUCUUCAUGGACUAAAGGAACAGAAUGGUUGAAGCCAGGACUGCUGAGGUCGAUUAAGAUGCAUGCUACAACCGCAGGUGAGACAUCAAUAAAGGGACCUAGUGACAUGUGGGUCAGAGUUGAGGCUUUAAGGUUAGGAUGCCAAAUCCAGCCACUAGCUUCCUACUUAUUAACUGUGCUCCCUGGGCAAAUCACUGAAUCUGUCUAAGGUUCAGUUUUCUCAUAUGUAAAAUUAGGAUAAAAAUAAACAGAGCCUCCCCUUAGGUGUUUUGAAGAUUAAGUAGAAAACUAUGUAGGGUACUUAACAUUAUCCACGGUAUGUCUGAAUAAAUGUUCAUUUUGUUAAGAAUCAGGACCUAUAAUUGAGAAGCCAACUGGACCAUUUGACCUUGGCUGAAGGGGGUGCAGGAGUGCAGAAUGAAGUUUUGCCAUGAAUGUAGAUUCUCCCUUACAAAUCUUUCCAUUUUCAAACCCGAGGCGAGAAAUUGGAGCUGAGGGAAAAGUAUCCGAGCUGCAAAGUUGUUUGGCCUUCCUGGGGCGUUAUGAGGCACAGGAAUGAGCCAGUGCCCUCUAGUUUGAGUUCUGACAAUGGAUUCUUUUUUUAAAAAAUGGAACAAAUGGAGCUCUCCUAAGAAACAUUUACUUUAUUUUCUUAGACUGGCAAUAUAGAGCCAGGUGCAGUGGCUCACUCCUGUAAUUCCCACACUUUGAGAAGCCAAGGCAGGAGAAUUGCUUGAGUGCAAGACUUCAAGAACAGCCUAGGCAACUUAGUGAGACCCACCCCCCAUCUCUACAAAAAUAUUUAAAAAUCAGCCAGGCAUCGUGGCUCAUGCCUGUGGUCCCAGCUACUUGGGAGUCUGAAGUGGGAGGAUUGAUUGCUUGAGCUGAGGAGGUCAAGGAUUCAGUGAGCCGUGAUUGUGUCACUGCACUUCAGCCUCGGUGACAGAGCAAGACCCUGUUUCACAAGGAACAAAAACAAACAACAACAACAAAAAUAACUGGCAUAUAGCAGACAAUUGUUAUCUCUGGAAGCUCAUCCACUCCCAUCUCCUAUAAGAUAUGUCACACACACACACUCUUCCAGGAAACUAAGAGGCUAAAUAUUUUAGCCAACAUCAUGGAGUUAGUGGAAUCUAAACCCCAGAUUUAUAACUAUUUUUUUUUUAAAAAAAGGAUCUUGCUUUAUCACCCAGGCUGGUGUGCAGUGGCAUAAUCACAGCUCACUACAGCCUCAACCUCCCAGGCUCAAGCGAUCCUUCCACCUCAGCUUCUUAGUAGCUGGGAUUACAAGUGUGCACCACCACACCUGGCUUUUCAAAUUUUUUAUUUGUUGCAGAAAUGAGGUCUUGCUAUGUUGCCCAUGUUGGUCUCAAACUCCUGGCCUCAAGUGAUGCUCUCACCUGAGCCUCAUAAAGUGCUGAGAUUACAGAUAUGAGCCACUGCGCCAAACCCUUCUACCUUUAAAUUUGUGGUUUGUUACAUUUCAAAACAAUUUUCUCUGUUAUGAAAUCAAACGUAAUGUGCGUUUCCUAUAAUCUCUACCUAAACUCCUCCUCUUAAAUAGCUUAUGAUAUACUGUUGCAAACAGAAAUAGAUGCCCUAGACAGAAGAUCAGAUGUCUUCAAUCCUAUUAUCCACGUAUCCCUAAUUCCAUGAGAAGUUUCAGAGGGCAACAUAUGUGUGGAAGGGAGUGUGGAGCCAAGGGACAUUUUGAUAGACCUUGGGCAUUGGCCUCAAACACUACUACACUCCACUGGCAGGCAAGGCUAAGUCAGGUUACGUGGCCCAGAGCCUAGAAAUAAAAUGGGUAAUAGCCUACAUGACCUCCUCUCUAAGUGCCACCUGAGUCUCAGCCCCGCUCAUCCCAGCACUCAAUGGUCAGGUAAGACCAAUCCAGUGAUAAUCAGAAGAGGUGACAGAGAGAGCUUGUGUGUGUGCCAAUGUACAGGUCAGAGCUGCUCUGGGCAGCCAGCCCCAGCCCUCAGAUAAACUCAGCACAGCCCUUCUUGCUUACCCAGGAAGAUGGGAAAGGGAGAGAGUGAAGAAGCAAGAGAGAAUAAAAUGAAGAAGCUCAGACUUCUCCUUCUUCCUUUCCUCUCUAGAAGAAAACCAUCUCAAGAGCCAGAAGUGGUAUAGGCGCCUAAGUCAGGCUUAUUCAAGCUCCACUUGUAAUGCUCCAUGCCCUAAAUAAUAUGACUCAAGACUGUCCCUGAACAUGGCUGAUCCACGGGAACAUCCUUCCCCCUGGAUAGUCUCAGAGGUGGGUUAGGGGAGCACCAUGAGCUUUUUCAGCCUACAAGCCAACCUAUUUUAUUUUAUAUUCUAAUGUCACUAUGUCAGAACUUAAUAGCACUGUAUGGAAAAAUAAAUCAUUGGGUUUUUGUGAUGAGCCUUUGAAACUUCCUUCCCGCUGCGGAUGUGCCACAUAUUCCUUACAAGCAGACAUAAUCCAUGUUUCGGAAUGAAUUUAUAAUACAAAACCUUCAAAGGGUGGCAUGCAAGUUCCACAGACUUCAUUUUUACAACAGGGAAAGAAUCUUUCCCGGAAAAGAUUUGAAGACGUGAAUGCUAAGUGAGCAGUGCUAUUAUAUGCAUGUGCAACGGAAAAGUCUCCCAGUCUUUGGUAAAUGGUGCAGUAGAGCAGAGCUGGUUUUAAUUAUGUAGAAAUGAUUGAUUACAGUAAAAACUCAACCUGGAAAAUUGCCUCAGAGUUAGAGUAAAGAAUUCGUAAGAAUUUAAAGUUGGCAGAGACCAAAGUGAUCAUAUUAUUUACUGGUACCCUAGGUUUUAUUUAAUCCAGUCAACAAAUACUUAUCAAUGCCUAUUACGUGCAGGAAAUACAAGUACAAAAAUCUUUUUUUUAAUAUUAAGAAAGGUC
ensembl:lncRNA